CAGUGAGUAGCCUGCCAGGAGGAAACAGAGAUCCAUCAGGGAAGGAGUUGACCCGCAGCAGAGAGAGCACUGGGCAUUUGCGGCAACUGGUACAGGAGGCCGUUGUCCACGGAUCUUCCACUGGUCCUUGAAGAAGAGUUAUCCUGAGGUAAAAAACAAAAUUACAGCAGCAGCCAAAAAUGGAGUCACAUCCUGAGACACUUUCUU
rnacentral:lncRNA from 12 species